ACGGUAUUGCAAUGAGAACAAUUUAAAACCCUUAGCGAGAAUCAAGUGGAGGACAAGUCUGGUGCCAGCACCCGCGGUAAUUCCAGCUCCACUAGCGUAUAUUAAAGUUGUUGCAGUUAAAAAGCUCGUAGUUGAACCUCUGUCUGGGGCUAGUUUUGGCUUUGGUCAGGCUAGUUCUAGGCAUCCGCCUACAAGACUUAGAGGGCAUUCAGUUGUUCACUAGGAGGAGUAGGCAUUUUACUUUGAAAAAAUUAGAGUGUUUAAGGCAGGCAAUCGCCCGCAUAUAUUAGCAUGGAAUAAUAGAAUAGGACACUUUUCCAUUUCGUUGGUUAUUGGAAUCGUGUAAUGAUUAAUAGGGACAGUUGUGGGCAUUUGUAUUUAAUUGUCAGAGGUGAAAUUCUUGGAUUUAUUAAAGACAAACUAACGCGAAAGCAUUUGCCAAGGAUGUUUUCAUUAAUCAAGAACGAAAGUUAGGGGAUCAAAGACGAUCAGAUACCGUCCUAGUCUUAGCUAUAAACUAUUCCGACUCAAUGUUUGACUGGCUUAUAUAACCAGUUGAGCGUUGUAUGAGAAAUCAAAGUCUUUAGGUUCUGGGGGGAGUAUGGUUGCAAAGCUGAAACUUAAAGGAAUUGACGGAAGAGCACAACCAGGAGUGGAUUCUGCGGCUUAAUUUGACUCAACACGGGGAAACUUACCAGGUUAAAACAAUAGUGGGAUUGACAGUUUGAGAGCGCUUUCUUGAUUGGUUGGGUGGUGGUGCAUGGCCGUUCUUAGUUGGUGGAGUGAUUUGUCUGCUUAAUUGCGUUAACGAACGAGACCUUAACCUGCUUACUAGACUGGCGAUCAUCAAUCGUUAGCUCUUCUUAGAGGGACUUUGGUUGUUUUAACUCCAAGGAAGUUUGAGGCAAUAACAGGUCUGUGAUGCCCUUAGAUAUCCUGGGCCGCACGCGUCAUACAAUGACUAGUUCAGAAAGUUUUCUCCUGACCCGAAAGGGGAUGGGUAAUCUUGAUAAUACUAGUCGUGUUAGGGAUCGAUCUUUGCAAUUAUAGAUCUUGAACGAGGAAUUCCUAGUAAGUGCGGUUCAUCAGACCGUACUGAUUACGUCCCUGCUCUUUGUACACACCGCCCGUCGCUUCUACCGAGUGGGUGGUCCGGUGAGAUAAUUGAACUUCGCAGGUAACUGAGAGGAAAGAUUAUCAAACCUAUCCACCU
rnacentral:rRNA from 1 species